rnacentral:rRNA from 1 species
CAUGUCUAAGUAUANNNNNACUAUACUGUGAAACUGCGAAUGGCUCAUUAAAUNAGUUAUCGUUUAUUUGAUAGUACCUUACUACAUGGAUAACCGUGGUAAUUCUAGAGCUAAUACAUGCUAAAAACCUCGACUUCGGAAGGGGUGUAUUUAUUAGAUAAAAAACCAAUGCCCUUCGGGGCUCCCUGGUGAUUCAUAAUAACUUAACGAAUCGCAUGGCCUUGUGCCGGCGAUGGUUCAUUCAAAUUUCUGCCCUAUCAACUUUCGAUGGUAGGAUAGUGGCCUACCAUGGUUUCAACGGGUAACGGGGAAUUAGGGUUCUAUUCCGGAGAAGGAGCCUGAGAAACGGCUACUACAUCCAAGGAAGGCAGCAGGCGCGCAAAUUACCCAAUCCCGACACGGGGAGGUAGUGACAAUAAAUACUGAUACAGGGCUCUUUUGAGUCUUGUAAUUGGAAUGAGUACAAUUUAAAUACCUUAACGAGGAACAAUUGGAGGGCAAGUCUGGUGCCAGCAGCCGCGGUAAUUCCAGCUCCAAUAGCGUAUAUUAAAGUUGUUGCAGUUAAAAAGCUCGUAGUUGAACCUUGGGCCUGGUUGGCCGGUCCGCCUCACCGCGUGCACUGGUCCGACCGGGUCUUUCCUUCUGGGGAGCCGCAUGCCCUUCACUGGGUGUGUCGGGGAACCAGGACUUUUACUUUGAAAAAAUUAGAGUGUUCAAAGCAGGCCUAUGCUCGAAUACAUUAGCAUGGAAUAAUAGAAUAGGACGUGUGGUUUCUAUUUUGUUGGUUUCUAGGACCGCCGUAAUGAUUAAUAGGGAUAGUCGGGGGCAUCAGUAUUCAAUUGUCAGAGGUGAAAUUCUUGGAUUUAUUGAAGACUAACUACUGCGAAAGCAUUUGCCAAGGAUGUUUUCAUUAAUCAGUGAACGAAAGUUAGGGGAUCGAAGACGAUCAGAUACCGUCGUAGUCUUAACCAUAAACUAUGCCGACUAGGGAUCGGGCNAUGUUAUNUUUUUUGNNUCGCUCGGCACCU